rnacentral:lncRNA from 1 species
UAGUUCGUUAAGAAUAAAUAUACAAUAUAUAACUGUUCAGAACUUAUGAUACUGCCUAAGCUAAGGAUAACACUACAAAGAGCAGUGCAGCAACAACAAAUACAAUUAUAUAUUAUUUUUUCCUAUUCCUUUGUUGCUCAUUGAUGCGAAUUCUUGAUAGUAGUCGUGACAUUACUUGCUUGUAAUGAUCUGGAAGAGGCAAGACAACCCACCUGAAAAAAUUGUAACCACUGCUUGUAUAAUAAUUUGAGCAUUCUUAGAACCUUCUACUCGGAUUGAUGGGCAUCCAGGUUAUACGCAGAACGACGUCAAGUCCACAACGACAAAAUAUACGAAUUUUCAUUACAUGCUUGGCUUGAAGAAUAAAAUAUCAAUCUAGAGAAGAAAAAAAUUGACCUAAAUAUGCACAAAGAAUGAAAAGAAAAUGUGUUACAGAGCUUCGGUUCUUCAAUAAUGAAGGUUGUAGGCAAAACAAGAAAAAAGAAGCCCUUUAAACAAAUGGGCCCUUGGGUUUAUUACCAUUAGGCAUUGAAAAAUAAAUGUUUCACGCUCCAAGUAGGCGUGACAUAUAUGCACAACAACUGACUAGAAAU